GUACCUUUCUUGGCUGAUCCCUUUCGCUGUAUAGCGUGCUCGUUUGGGUUGGGCGUCGGCUAAGGGUGCUCGGAGUGUGGAUUAACUCCAGUCUCCUAUCAGUUUGAGUGACAGGUGGUGGUUAUCGUAGGCGAUUGAUUUUGGAAACGUUUCAACUUCAACCCGUAACAGUUGGAUUCACAACGGAUAUGGGGUAGGAAGGUAUUUGGAACGUUCUUCAACGAGUAGAUAUCUUGUGAGGAUUAAAGGCUACCGAUCGAGGAGUGUGUGAAAAGCUUGGAUCAUCGGAGUGACUAAAUCUAGUCAUCAACUUCGGCAAAGGUAUGAACCCAAGGGCCAUUGUGGAUGGUGGCCGAAUGUGAGAAAUCGCAUAGGAGAUCUCGUCAAGGAAUAUCGCAAAUCAGGUGAGCCUUAAUAUGGGGACUUGGGCCGGAGGGGAUUCAGAGUGGCCACGGUGAUCGCUUUUGGACCUUUAAAUAAGCGUUGGUUUUCAUUUAAUUUCCUUUAAUUAUUAUUUAUUUUUGGGUUGUAAUAAGGCCAUUUUUAACUUUUCUUUUAUUUCUUCUCGAGAUUAUUUUAUUCUUAAUAACUUUAAAAUUGGUUGAUAAUUA